UGGGAAUCUUGCACAAUGGGCGAAAGCCUGAUGCAGCAACGCCGCGUGCGGGAAGACAGCCCUAGGGUUGUAAACCGCUUUCAGCAGGGAAGAAACUGACGGUACCUGCAGAAGAAGAUGCGGCCAACUACGUGCCAGCAGCCGCGGUGACACGUAGGCAUCAAGCGUUAUCCGGAUUUAUUGGGCGUAAAGAGCUCGUAGGCGGUUCGGUAAGUCGGGUGUGAAAACUCUGGGCUCAACCCAGAGAGGCCACUCGAUACUGCUGUGACUAGAGUGCGGUAGGGGAGCGGGGAAUUCCUGGUGUAGCGGUGAAAUGCGCAGAUAUCAGGAGGAACACCAGUGGCGAAGGCGCCGCUCUGGGCCGUAACUGACGCUGAGGAGCGAAAGCAUGGGUAGCAAACAGGAUUAGAUACCCUGGUAGUCCAUGCCGUAAACGAUGAAUGCCAGUCGUCGGGUAGCAUGCUAUUC
rnacentral:rRNA from 1 species